UACGGAGGGAGCUAGCGUUGUUCGGAAAUACUGGGCGUAAAGCGCACGUAGGCGGCGCAGCAAGUCAGGGGUGAAAUCCCGGGGCUCAACCCCGGAACUGCCCUUGAAACUGCAGUGCUAGAAUUCUGGAGAGGCGAGUGGAAUUCCGAGUGUAGAGGUGAAAUUCGUAGAUAUUCGGAAGAACACCAGUGGCGAAGGCGGCUCACUGGCCCGGUACUGACGCUGAGGAGCGAAAGCGUGGGGAGCAAACAGG
rnacentral:rRNA from 1 species